AGUGAACGCUGGCGGUAGGCCUAACACAUGCAAGUCGAACGGCAGCACAGUAAGAGCUUGCUCUUACGGGUGGCGAGUGGCGGACGGGUGAGGAAUACAUCGGAAUCUACUUUUUCGUGGGGGAUAACGUAGGGAAACUUACGCUAAUACCGCAUACGACCUACGGGUGAAAGCAGGGGAUCUUCGGACCCUGCGCGAUUGAAUGAGCCGAUGUCGGAUUAGCUAGUUGGCGGGGUAAAGGCCCACCAAGGUGACGAUCCGUAGCUGGUCUGAGAGGAUGAUCAGCCACACUGGAACUGAGACACGGUCCAGACUCCUACGGGAGGCAGCAGUGGGGAAUAUUGGACAAUGGGCGCAAGCCUGAUCCAGCCAUACCGCGUGGGUGAAGAAGGCCUUCGGGUUGUAAAGCCCUUUUGUUGGGAAAGAAAAGCAGCAGGUUAAUACCCCGCUGUUCUGACGGUACCCAAAGAAUAAGCACCGGCUAACUUCGUG
rnacentral:rRNA from 1 species